rnacentral:rRNA from 1 species
GAUGAACGCUAGCGGCAGGCUUAACACAUGCAAGUCGAGGGGCAGCACGGGUAGCAAUACCUGGUGGCGACCGGCGCAAGGGUGCGUAACGCGUGAGCAACAUGCCCUAUACAGGGGGAUAAUCCAGGGAAACUUGGUCUAAUAUCCCAUAGUAUUUAGAGGAGGCAUCUUCUAUAAAUUAAAGCUUCGGUGGUAUAGGAUUGGCUCGCGUGACAUUAGCUAGAUGGUGAGGUAACGGCUCACCAUGGCAAUGAUGUCUAGGGGUUCUGAGAGGAAGGCCCCCCACACUGGGACGUGAGACACGGCCCACGACUCCUACGGGAGGCAGCAGUGAGGAAUAUUGGACAAUGGAUGGAAAUCUGAUCCAGCCAUGCCGCGUGCAGGAAGACAGCCCUAUGGGUUGUAAACUGCUUUUAUAUGGGAGCAAUAAGGUCUACGUGUAGACUGAUGAGAGUACCAUAUGAAUAAGC